ensembl:lncRNA
CACCAGACAAUACGUGGACGUAGAGAGAUCAUGGUUAACUAUCGUGUUCUCAGUGUGGCUGUGCUUUUCAGGUUACGGAAUUUCUUUAAUUUGCACCUUUAAGUUUAAUAUUUAGGACUUAAUAAAUAAGUUAUCCAUACAGGGAAAAAAAUUCCAGAAACACCAUGUGCUCCUGUGCGUUUCUGGACGUGACGUGAAACAUGCCCACCGGGCAUCUUGCCAGAAAACGGGCUGGAGAUUGGCAACAAUUUGUUCCAUCAGAAGGUGAAAAGCUGCUUUCUGUCCGCUUCCCGCUGGUCGUUUCUCUCACCUGGGUGAAGUCCAAAGCAACAGAAGAUGCAGGAUCCUUCCUUACAACCACAAUGCUGACUGAGCGUUCCCAAGUCACUUCCAUCAGCAACGGGCGGUCGGCACUCGUCUCCCUCCGGCCCGUGGAGACCGACCCUUGCAUUUGUGAACAGCUGGUGGAAGCCCGUCCCCACAGAGUCACAGGCACCGUGUUCUGAGCACUGCCUUUUGCAGGAGGGGCAUCAUCUCCUUCAAUCCUCGUGGAGACAGUGGCCGCCCCAGAUACCGCUGCAAUCGCUGGCCGGGUCAUCGGCCUCAUUUUUACACCAGAGGAAAUGCAGCUGAGCAGGACGAGUCUUGUUACCUCCUUCUCCCCAGCAGUCGGCACCUAUCUGUGGAUCAAUAAAUGUUGAAUUAAGAUGAAGACAAUUGAGCUCUCUCAACCAGAUAUUUCAGGAGUCCCAAGCAGAUCUAAGACCAGUAAAUAGGAGGAGGGAUAAACUCCCACUGAACUGACCUGAAGCGCCGAUUCAGCCAGGCGGGUCGGAACUGAGUUCAUCUUCUCUCAACUGUGGCUUUUUGUGUGGUGAGUAACUGUCUUAGGAAAGACCAAGGGACCCGAGAUUCAGCGAUGCCGUCAACCCCACAGGCGAGGGAGAGCAGGGAUUUCCAGUGACCAUCCUCACCUGCCGACAUCCUCACCGUCUGUCCCCCGGGAUGGCUUGAAUGCAGCCAUUGGAUGGGUUAACACAAGCCCACGGCUCAGUCACAUCCUCUCCUCUGCUAAUAAUGUGCUCCCAGACGGCUGCUCCUUGGCUCCACGCAGCCGAGGAGCUCCACUGGCGGGUGGGUCCCCUCCACACCGCCUCCCACCCGUCGCGAAGGAUGCUCUCUUCAGAUUAACCCGUCUCCACGUCAGCCCUGGUGUCUGGCACGGAGCUGGGCUCAGGAAACGUGUCGGAUAAGUGAACGAAUGGAUUGAAUGGACAAAUGUUGACAGAACACUCCUUCGUACCUGCUGUUUAGUCCUACACGAAACACAGAAGGCAAAUAAAUCACAGUCUUUCCACGAAGUACUUAGAAUUUGGAAGGGGACAAACACACGCCCAGCCAUCAGCCUUGUUGACACCGUUAGCACCACCAGUCUGACAGAUCUAACAUGACGCCACCUGUGUGGCCCUGCCUCUGUCUACACAGAUGCAAAGGGUCGUGGUGAAGCUGGAGUCAAGUGAAUCCCACGUGCAAAUGCUAACACACUCCGAGAACUGGGAGAUUAAACAUCUGUGGACACAGGACACCUCACCAGGUGGCGUUGGCUUAACAGAAAUGAAGGUGGCGUUCCUUUCUCAUUUCUGACAGGUCUGGUCCCGAUUCUCAAAGUAUAUGGAUUUCGAACAGCCUGAGCCGUGGUGCCCCUUCCAUCCCUCAGGCGGUUGAACGGCCAUGUGCAGGUCCCCAGUGGAAACAGGCGCUCUCCACCACACUGGGACAGGGCGGCAGGGGGACUGGAGACAGCGAGCAACAAGGCACUGGAUCCUCACAGAGAAAUAGAGGAUCUGAACACAGGUUUUCAGGAGUAAAGGGCCUGUGAUUCCCUUGCAGAAAUGAGCUGGUUUUCAGCAGGGACUGGAAGACCAUCAGUGUUGCUGCUCCCGUCACUGCUGUGGCCGUCCUGUCAUCUGCACGUCGGUGAUGCCGGCACUUCCUGAAAAUGCUACUGGAGUCGGUGGGAUGGUUCACAACCACAGGAUGCCCUCCUUCCAAGGACUCACCUACCUCCACCGCCUCCCACGUCACCUUUGACUUAGACCUGCUCCCUGGCACCUGCACCAAAACCAGCCCCACAGAGGUCCAGGCGCCCGAAGUUCCCCUCAGUGACACGAACAACUGAAAGUGAAAACUCUGAGGUAACACUGUUUGCUGAGAGAGAAGUCGCCUCUCUGGUCCUUGUUUCCAUUUGUCAGUGGGAUGGCAAUACAGUUGUUCUAAAUUCCCAGGGGUCGCCCAAGAAAUAAAAACAUUGUUUGGGCUGCAGGAUCAGGGCCUGAGGGUGCGGGUCUUUUAUCCACAGACGUUAGAUAAUGAGGCUUUGAAAGGAAGCCCUGAUUGAUUGUCUGAACUAGCAAGAAUCUUCUCGUCAGAGCAAAAGAAAUGAAAUGAGUAAGUGGAUUUGGUCUUGGGAAAAAUAAGCAUCUUUCUCACUAACACGUGUGUAAGGAAGUACUCAAUAGACGUUUGACAGAAGAAUGAACGACCACUAAGUCAGCUCAGCACAGAUUUAGAAUUUUCAAACCAGUUGGGACUUUAUUCAAGUUUGUCAGCUUUCCACAAAGGAGCAAAGGCGCAAGCAAUGAAGGCCGUGGAGGAUCUUGGCCAAAUAUUUCACGAUUCUUUCAUUCAUCAGUUUUGACCAGGAUUUUAUCACACAUUUAACUUUGCAUAUUUUUUCCUUUAUCAGUUUCCCAGAUUGAGUCUUAUAAAUAUUUAAUUUCUGUUUUAAAAAAUUUGGUUGUGUAUAGACCACUAUGUACUGGGGCUUUGGGGAGGGAAAAGGGAGAGAAAAAAAAGGAGGAAUAUUGGCAACAGAUGAUAACUUAGGGCAAAUCUUCCCUGGCAAAAAAACAAAAACAUUGGUUGUAUUUUAUAUAUAAAAUUUAAUCAAUUAGGCAUUCUUGUAACUUAAAUUUUCUCACUAAGAAGACUAAUAUAUUUUGAAUAUGCCUUUGGUGCAAUAUUUUGGCUAUACCUAACAAAAAAUGCUCUACUUCACA